CGGAGGGAGCCACACGUCAUUUUUGGCUUUUCUGUAUUGGUGUGCGGGGCUGCUACGUGCUCGGCUUAGAGAAUUAGAAGGGUCCGUCUCUUUUUGCCCACUGGAGUCUGGCACUUGGGGCACUGCCUCCCUGUUGGUGGUGGUGGUGAUGGAGCUGUAGGAGGGAGGCUAGCAGUGGGAGCUUCUCCUGCUGGGCUGGAAGACAAGCAGAAGGAAGAGGCACCACCGCAUGCUGGAGGCUGGAGCCACGGCGGCUUGCCUCGCUGCGGUUGGUGGUGACAUCGGAGACCGCAGCUACGAGCUAAAGCAAGCUCAGUACUACUGGUGAUUUGGAAAGUGCCUUCAUAUUGUUUUUGCCAGUUCUCACCUGAGAACCCUGCAGAUGCCCCAUGAGAGGCUGUGCCCUUUACAAGGAGUCUCCAGUGAUACAGCUGAUUUUCCUCCAUACUCUAAUCCCCUUCAUGGCUGCAGCAUCAACAGAUUGCUCUCUUGAAUCUGACCCCAGUUG
rnacentral:lncRNA from 10 species